UCCCUGGUGGUCCAGUGGUUAGGACUCAGCGCUUUCACUGUGGUGGUUCCAAGUUUGAUUCCUGGAUAGGGAG
rnacentral:tRNA from 1 species